GCAACGGUGGUCUAGCGGUUAGAACGCUGGCCUUGUAAUCCUGAAGUCUCGGGUUCGAUUCCCGGCGGUGCC
rnacentral:tRNA from 1 species